GAUGAACGCUAGCGGCAGGCUUAAUACAUGCAAGUCGAGGGAGAAUGAGGCUUCGGCCUCAGGGAACCGGCGCACGGGUGCGUAACGCGUACACAACAUGCCUUAUACUGGAGUAUAGCCUCGGGAAACUGGGCGUAAUCCUCCAUAACAUUAUCGGGUGGCAUCAUCUGGUAAUUAACGCUCAGGCGGUAUAAGAUUGGUGUGCGUAUGAUUAGCUAGUUGGUAGGGUAAUGGCCUACCAAGGCGACGAUCAUUAGCUGGCGUGAGAGCGCGACCAGCCACACUGGAACUGAGACACGGUCCAGACUCCUACGGGAGGCAGCAGUAGGGAAUAUUGGACAAUGGGCGAAAGCCUGAUCCAGCCAUGCCGCGUGAUGGAUGAAGGCCCUCUGGGUUGUAAACAUCUUUUAUCAGGGAAGAAACACCUCGUUUCUACGAGGCUUGACGGUACCUGAUGAAUAAGCACCGGCUAACUCCGUGCCAGCAGCCGCGGUAA
rnacentral:rRNA from 1 species